ensembl:snRNA U6 U6 spliceosomal RNA
GUGUUUGCUUAAUCAGCACAUAUACUAAAGUUGGAAUAAUAAAUAGAAGAUUAGUAUGGCCCCUGUGCAAGGAUGCUAUGCAAAUUCGUGAAGCUUUCUAUACUUUU